AAGCAUUACGCCGGAAGAACGGAUUACUCUGAUGAGGUAAAUCAUGGGCUUACUGCCCUGAUGCUUA
rnacentral:tRNA from 1 species